CUUGAAACUUUGCUCAUUUUUUUGCAUGAGCUGAACGUUUUCAGGAAAGAUAUGAAAAGUUGCCCUUUUUUAAAUUAAGUAAUAAUUUCUUUGAUAAAGCAUCGUUUUCACAUCAAGUAGUUUUGCUUUUAAGAGUAUUAUUUAUAAACUGUGUUGUCAGUUUCUUUAUAUUAUGGGCAGUAAUUUAAUGGUUUGGCACUUAUAGGUUUGUAAAAAUUGUAAGAAAAUGAGGAGUAUAUAAAUCUGAGAAAAAAUAUAUCCAGAAUGCGUAAUGUAUGUUCAGAGCAUAUUUUGUGUGAUAAUUUGUGGUGCAGCCGCUAGAUUCGCUGUUGGAGGCUUGCCAAUUGACCACCUAUAUUCAAAAAGUGGUGAGCAUUGAAAUGACUGUGUCUGUAUGUUUUCUACCAUUGCAUGAUCGCAGCCUCAAUUUCCUUCCUAAGUAACAGUGAGGCUGCAAGCAAGGUACAUGCCUGCAUCUUUCAUCAAGAUUGUAAUAUUGUUAUCAUGUAUUCAGAGAUGCAAAGAAGUUGGGAAGUGGGAUAUUCAGCUAAAUGGGUUUGCUGCAUUAGGAAAAUCGAAUGGGUUAUAAUCAAAAUGCUUGGGCAACUGGGGGCAGCACAUUUAAAUCAUCAUUAUUCCAAAAAGAAUUGAUGUUUUCUAUUCCAAUAAUUGGGCUCUACAUUAAGAUAGACACAAAGGUAGAAGAAAUACUUGAAAAUGAAACUUCCAACAGGGAAACAAAUCAAGCAUGAUUGAGGACGAAAAACAACGGUAAAUUUCUUGGAAAAAGGAGGAUUUGCUUCAGUUGUCAAGCUUGAUUUUAAGCGAUGGAAUCUAGUGGAGUGUGGUGUUGAUUUUUGUGCCCAAUGUGAUGCCAAUUUGAUGUUUGAAACGACAUGACAUUUGAGAAAAAAAUAAAUUUACAGUUUGGUUAGAGUUGGUGAUUUGGACUGUUAUGGAAUUAGUUUUCAACACAACAUAGUUUGAAUAUGAGCGAGAGAAUCUUUGGUGGUGUGCAUUUUUAUGGAGGAAUCCUUUAAACAAAACUCGUGCAUAUACCAACAUUAUUUAUGUGUUGUAUUCUUCGCCAUCUGUUUGGACGAAGAUAUCUAUAAACUAUCGCGUUGAAAAAACUUGACUCAGAGGAGAUGCUUACAGAUAACUUCUGUAAAUGAUUGAGGUUUUUCGUGUUACUGAUAAUAAUUGUGAAGACCUCAAGCUAUUUGUGAUUCAGAAGCAAAGAAUGCUCAUCUUGUUCAAUCAUCAGUAAAGUGGAUUGUUGAAGUUCAAAUAGGAAGAUCAAGUAUAAAUAGCAGCAGAAAACUCUGCUGAAAGAUUUUGUCAAGUGAUUGCAUAGUAAAAUGAAAGGUCGUGGAUGAUUUUUGAAUAUGACUGAAGAAUUGAUAAACUUGCAGUGUUUCUGUAAGUCGGCAAAUUGAUAAAUGUCGAAGAGUUUAUGAUAAACGUGGGCAACGCAACCGGACAAUGUUCUGUUAUUGAAGGUACGUUGGUUUGAUAAAGUAAGGAAUAGUUGAAGGCAUGUUAUUUAAAAUAAGUUAAAAGUUUGAAGUGGUGUAGAAACUGCUGUAAAUUGUAUAAUAUGUUGACUGAAAUGAAGAUAUGGUAUGGCAUGUUCCGCCAUUUUGGAAGUCUUGUCUAGAGAACUAUGUGAAGAUGUAAGAUAGAAUUGUUAAAGACUUGGGAGUGGAAGAAAUAAGACGACUCUCAAGGAGUAUAUCAAAUAAAAACGUUGCGUUUGUCUUGGAGAAGUAAUGGAGAACCAGGGGAAGGGAAAAGCUUAGUUUGGCUGGUAUAAUAUAAAGAAAAAAUAUUCAUGUAAUUUGUAAACUGACGGGUUUAUUGGGGGUUUGUGUUUUGUAAAAUAGUUCGAAGAUGUUUGUAAGUAGGUAAGACGUUAGGUAGCUGCUUAAAGAAUCUAUUCAAACAAAUGUGUGUUUGGUGUGAAUGAUUUUCAAUGGAAAAGUAGGAGUAAAUUAUUUGUAAUUAUUUAAAAGAAAUAAAGAUGUUUGUGGUAUUUGUAGAGGCUUAUGAAAAGUGUAGGAGAUGUUUGGAGAAAAUGCAAGAUAUAUUACAUAAGGGAAGAUAAGGAAGUUGGCAAAGUUGAAGAAGAGAAGAAGUUAACGUGUAAUAUGGAUGUUGAGGUAAUAGAGUUUAUUGUUUGAUGUAAUCUUUAAAAUAUAAGUGAGCAUGAUAUUAGGAGGAUGCUUGGAUUUUUCAAACUUUGUCGUAAUGAGGAUUGAGUUGAUUGAAAACACUUGUACAUGAAACAUGGAGAUUUGAAGAUUGAAUUAAAUAUUUGUGGAAGUCUACGUUAUGGUAUAUUGGUAACACACAUAAAAUGAGGUUAAAUUUUGUUUGACUUUUGUGAUAUGUAAGUAAGUAAGAAAAAAGAUUGUUUAGUUUAUGUUGAGAUAGUUUUAGUUGAUUUAAUUGAUUUUUGACAUAGAUGAUUGUCAUAAACAUAUUUCAUGAUAGGAAAAGUGUUAUAAACAAGCGGCACAAAUUCAUUGUUUUGAUUUAUGAUUUACUUUCAGUUUUUGAUGAUUUGAAAAUUUUUAAAUAUUUUGUUUUGGUUGUGUUUAUCACAAAUUGGGAAAAGUGAAAUGGUUGUUUGACUUUUUGAAGGGAAAUGGAAAGAGUUUAAUGAUUAUUUAUAUAACAGUAAGGAAAAAGUUGUUUAAAAAAGAAAUUUUGUUAUUAAGUGUGUUGACUUGAAUUUAAUAAAUGUUGAGUGUAAGGGAUGUUAUAAUUAUUUAUGAUGGUAAGUAUUGUAUUGUGAUUUCAGGUGCAAGAAGUGUUUAACAAGAACCUCAUGAAAAAAUGAUGAAGAAAAGUUGUAUAUAAGAGUGAAAGUUUGGUGGAAAAAAUGGUUGUGGUUAUGAAAAAGAUCAUGAAAAUUUGUGGUUGAGCUAAAGAGAACUAAGGGAAGAGUUGGACAUGAAGUAAAGUUUGCAUGCAAAGGAAGAAGUUGGACAAGUAGAAAUGGCUUGUACUCAAUGUAAGGGUUUGUAUGCAAAGGAAAGAAUUGGAACAACAAAUGUUUAUGAUGAAUAAAAGGUUUAUUAAAUAUUAGAUGAAAUAAAGAGUUUAUUUAAUAUUA